UUUUUUUCUUGACUAGGUAAGACUUGCAUCAUCUGGCAACCAGGAAGUUCCUUCAGAGUUUACCAUCAGAUCAAACCAGGCACAAGUUUUUCCCCAUUUUGUUACCUAGGAUGUGUCGUAAUAGAUAUAACAUAGCUGAAGGUCUCCCCGUAUUUACUCACAGGACACAUGGAAACAAGUGAUGGGAGAGCAGGGGAAACAACUGGUACAUCGGACAAGUGGUUGACUUAUACAUGUAUAUAGAAGGGAUAUGGGCAGACAACCAUGCUGUGAGAGAAGCUGCCUGUGCGUGUAUUGCAGAACUUGGAGGUGAACAAAGAUGUUGUGGACAUGUAUGUUCCAAUGUUGUUAGAGGCUCUUCUAAUCUGUUUAAGUGAUGACAGCUGGACAGUUAGAGAUGGUAAAAUGUGUCAUCUAUACCAGCAUUGUAUCCAUGAUUUUUCAACAAUCUACAAGAAAAUAUACCGUCAGUGCGGCAGGGGGCGGCCCUUGCUCUCCUCAGAGCAUAUGAUCAAAUAAACAUUUCAAGAUCUGAUAUGAAGAUAAUUGCAGAGGAGGUGUUUUAUGCUGUGCCCCUUGAGGAGAAAGAAAUAGUCUCUAUAGUUUCCAGUGCCGUAGAUGAAUUCUAGGAACAAAGACAGUAUAACAAGCCAUUUACCGAUCUCCACCUUUCAGAAGCAUUUUAUACACAUGAAGAGAUUUGCUCAGAUUUGAUAAGUAACAGUAGACGUAUGUUCAAGAAACUAAUGUUUGGUUUAUAUGGAAACUUAUUAGAAACAUUUAUAAAGAGGAAGAAUAUGAUUCUCCCGUUGCUUGGCACAAACCAAAACUAACAAGUUUUAUAGAGGUGCUUCCCCUUCGACCAACAUAGAUGUGUUAAAACCCCUGGUUCAGUUAGCAGUUAUUGACAUAUUAGGUUUAAAUGGGGCCAAAAAAUCGUUGGAAAGACUAAAUGGGGGUAUUUGUAAAAAGAAGGAUCUUGUUGACUCAAUUUUGGUGCAAGAAUUGCCCGAAAAAGAGCCUGUGUGGGCUAAUUAUGAUGACGAUGAAUUAGCAGUGAAAAUGCAACUAACUGAAACAAUAUUUAAUGAUUUAUUGACAGAUACUGUUGAGACAAUGAACAAAAUCUUCCGCAAGAAACAAACUUUGCAGCAGCAGACAUAGGCAGCUUUUUGAUCUGGAUUAUGUAAAAGAUUUUCUGAUCUGUUUUCAUGCAGAUGCUUUUUAUAUGCCCGAAAGAAUUUCGAGCAUAUUAUGUUAUACCCCCUGGCGUCCGUCCGUACGUCCGUCCGUCCGUUCCUUCCAUUAGCAAUUUGGUUUCCAGAGCAUAACUUAAGUUCCAUUUGGCCCACAAUAUUCAAACUUCAUAGGUUGAUUAUCCAUAUUGGGUUGAAGACCCCUAUUGAUUUUGGGGUCACAAGGUCAAAGGUCAAGGUCACUAUUACCUUAAAACUGAAAACAAUUUCCGGAGCAUAACAUUAGUUCAAUUUGGCCCAGAGUGUUCAAACUUCAUAGGAUGAUUGUCCAUAUUGGGUAGCAGACCCCUAUUGAUUUAGGAGUCACAAGGUC